rnacentral:rRNA from 1 species
AUACGGGGGGUGCAAGCGUUAAUCGGAAUUAAUGGGCGUAAAGCGCGCGUAGGCGGUUUGCUCAGUCGGAUGUGAAAGCCCAGGGCUCAACCUUGGAACUGCAUACGAUACUGGCAAACUAGAGUGUGAGAGAGGAUAGUGGAAUUUCCGGUGUAGCGGUGAAAUGCGUAGAUAUCGGAAGGAACAUCAGUGGCGAAGGCGACUGUCUGGUUCAACACUGACGCUGAGGUGCGAAAGCGUGGGUAGCAAACAGGAGUAGAAACCCGAGUAGUCC